UACAGAGGGUGCGAGCGUUGUCCGGAAUCACUGGGCGUAAAGGUCGCGUAGGUGGCGUGGUAAGCGUGUGGUGAAAGUCCGGGGCUCAACCCCGGAUCCGCCGUGCGAACUGCUAGGCUUGAGCAUUGUAGAGGCAGGUGGAAUUCCGGGUGUAGCGGUGGAAUGCGUAGAGAUCCGGAAGAACACCAGUGGCGAAGGCGGCCUGCUGGGCAAUUGCUGACACUGAGGCACGACAGCGUGGGGAGCAAACAGG
rnacentral:misc_RNA from 1 species